UAGGGAAUCUUCCACAAUGGACGCAAGUCUGAUGGAGCAACGCCGCGUGAGUGAAGAAGGCUUUCGGGUCGUAAAACUCUGUUGUUGGAGAAGAAUGGUCGGCAGAGUAACUGUUGUCGGCGUGACGGUAUCCAACCAGAAAGCCACGGCUAACUACGUGCCAGCAGCCGCGGUAAUACGUAGGUGGUAAGCGUUAUCCGGAUUUAUUGGGCGUAAAGCGAGCGCAGGCGGUUUUUUAAGUCUGAUGUGAAAGCCCUCGGCUUAACCGAGGAAGCGCAUCGGAAACUGGGAAACUUGAGUGCAGAAGAGGACAGUGGAACUCCAUGUGUAGCGGUGAAAUGCGUAGAUAUAUGGAAGAACACCAGUGGCGAAGGCGGCUGUCUGGUCUGUAACUGACGCUGAGGCUCGAAAGCAUGGGUAGCGAACAGGAUUAGAUACCCUGGUAGUCCAUGCCGUAAACGAUGAAUGCUAGGUGUUGGAGGGUUUUCCG
rnacentral:rRNA from 1 species